CCUCUGAUAGCUCAGCUGGAAGAGCGCGAGACUGUAAAUCUUGAGGUCGUGGGCUCGACUCCCACUCGGAGGA
rnacentral:tRNA from 1 species